rnacentral:RNase_P_RNA from 1 species
CUGCUGCAUCGGGUAGCUGCUGUGCAUGGAAACGUGCACAGAGGAAAGUCCGGGCUCGGGCCGAUAGCAAUAUCGCGCAGCAGGGUAGCAGGUAACGCCUGCAUGCCGUAAGGCAAGAGGUGCGAGCAGAAACGCCCGCGGCGAAAGCCAGAGGCCCCGCAAGGGUGACGUCUGUGGAAACACAGAUAUGAAACGGCUAAAUCCUUACCCCCGUGCAAGGUCGUGCCUGUCGCAAGACAGGAGUGCCGCUAGAGGGUGUUGGCGACAACACUCCCAGAUGAAUAGUUACACAGUCCGCCGCUUGAAAAAGCAUUGGAUGGACAGAACCCGGCUUAUAGGUGCAGCGCAAUG